AAGUCGUAACAAGGUUUCCGUAGGUGAACCUGCGGAAGGAUCAUUAACACGUAUCCAACGUAAAAAACCCCCCUGUGAACAUUCAAACCUGCUCUCGUAGCCCAGUGCGAUCCAGCAAUCCCGGUAAAUCAUUGUCGAACAGCUUUUGAUUCGGGACUGUUACGAUUGAGCGGAGAUAGCUGCAUGGCAUCCCGAAGCAGUCAGUGUCUGAAAGUGUCAUUGAUUGUCUAAGGAUCUUGCCUCAACGAUUGCUAGAGGUCGCUCACCGACCGGCAGACAUGCAACCGGGUCCCCACGCCCCUUUACAACCCGAUUACCUCUGUGAGUCUAGGCGGACGCACUAGGCUAAAAAAACCUCGAACAACUGUUAACAAUGGAUAUCUUGGUUCUC
rnacentral:misc_RNA from 1 species